rnacentral:rRNA from 1 species
CCUACGGGCGGCAGCAGUGGGGAAUAUUGCACAAUGGGCGCAAGCCUGAUGCAGCCAUGCCGCGUGUGUGAAGAAGGCCUUCGGGUUGUAAAGCACUUUCAGCGGGGAGGAAGGCGUUAAGGUUAAUAACCUUGUCGAUUGACGUUACCCGCAGAAGAAGCACCGGCUAACUCCGUGCCAGCAGCCGCGGUAAUACGGAGGGUGCAAGCGUUAAUCGGAAUUACUGGGCGUAAAGCGCACGCAGGCGGUCUGUCAAGUCGGAUGUGAAAUCCCCGGGCUCAACCUGGGAACUGCAUUCGAAACUGGCAGGCUAGAGUCUUGUAGAGGGGGGUAGAAUUCCAGGUGUAGCGGUGAAAUGCGUAGAGAUCUGGAGGAAUACCGGUGGCGAAGGCGGCCCCCUGGACAAAGACUGACGCUCAGGCGCGAAAGCGUGGGGAGCAAACAGGAUUAGAUACCCGAGUAGUC